rnacentral:rRNA from 1 species
CCUACGGGAGGCAGCAGUGAGGAAUAUUGGUCAAUGGGCGGAAGCCUGAACCAGCCAAGUCGCGUGAGGGAAUAAGGCCCUACGGGUCGUAAACCUCUUUUGCCGGGGAGCAAGGGCGGGGACGUGGCACGGCCCGGAGAGUACCCGGAGAAAAAGCAUCGGCUAACUCCGUGCCAGCAGCGGCGGUAAUACGGAGGAUGCGAGCGUUAUCCGGAUUUAUUGGGUUAAAAGGGUGCGGAGGUGGGCUUGUACGUCAGCGGUAAAAAUUUGGGGCUCAACCCCGUACGGCCGUUGAAAAUGGGGGCCUUGAGUGGGCGAGAAGAAGGCGGAAUGCGUGGUGUAGCGGUGAAAUGCAUAGAUAUCACGCCGAACCCCGAUUGCGAAGGCAGCCUUCCGGCGCCCUACUGACGCUGAGGCACGAAAGUGCGGGGAUCGAACAGGAUUAGAUACCCUUGUAGUC